rnacentral:rRNA from 1 species
ACACUCCUACGGGAGGCAGCAGUGGGGAAUAUUGCACAAUGGGCGCAAGCCUGAUGCAGCCAUGCCGCGUGUAUGAAGAAGGCCUUCGGGUUGUAAAGUACUUUCAGCGGGGAGGAAGGCAAUACGGUUAAUAACCGUGUUGAUUGACGUUACCCGCAGAAGAAGCACCGGCUAACUCCGUGCCAGCAGCCGCGGUAAUACGGAGGGUGCAAGCGUUAAUCGGAAUUACUGGGCGUAAAGCGCACGCAGGCGGUCUGUCAAGUCGGAUGUGAAAUCCCCGGGCUCAACCUGGGAACUGCAUUCGAAACUGGCAGGCUUGAGUCUUGUAGAGGGGGGUAGAAUUCCAGGUGUAGCGGUGAAAUGCGUAGAGAUCUGGAGGAAUACCGGUGGCGAAGGCGGCCCCCUGGACAAAGACUGACGCUCAGGUGCGAAAGCGUGGGGAGCAAACAGGAUUAGAAACCCUGGUAGUCCCAUGAU